rnacentral:rRNA from 1 species
UUACAAUGGAGAGUUUGAUCCUGGCUCAGGAUGAACGCUAGCGGCAGGCCUAAUACAUGCAAGUCGAACGGUAGACAUCUUUCGGGAUGUUGAGAGUGGCGCACGGGUGCGUAACACGUAUGCAACCUACCUUUUACAGGGGGAUAGCCCGGAGAAAUUCGGAUUAAUACCCCAUGGCACUAUUGAUUGGCAUCAUGAGAUAGUUAAAGAUUUAUCGGUAAGAGAUGGGCAUGCGUCUGAUUAGCUAG